rnacentral:rRNA from 1 species
GGUUCGAUUUAUGGCUCAGAUUGAACGCUGGCGGGAUGCUUUACACAUGCAAGUCGAACGGCAGCACGGACUUCGGUCUGGUAUGAGGCGAACGGGUGAGUAAUACCGGAACGUGCCUAGUAGCGGGGAUAACUACGCGAAAGCGUAGCUAAUACCGCAUACGCCUCGGGGGAAGGGGACCUUCGGGGCCUCGCAAGACUAUUGAGCGGCCGAUAUCGGAUUAGCUAGUUGGUGGGGUAACGGCUCACUAAGGCGACGAUCCGUAGCUGGUUUGAGAGGACGACCAGCCACAUUCAACCGAGACACGGCCCAGACUCCUACGGGAGGCAGCAGUGGGGAAUUUUGGACAAAUGGGAAACUUCUGAUCCAGCCAUCCUGCGUGCGAUGAAGGCCUUCGGGUUGUAAAGCACUUUUGGCAGGAAAGAAACGGGCACGGAUAAUACCCCGUGCAACUGACGGUACCUGCAGAAUACAAGGCACCGGCUAAUCACGUGCCAGCAGCCGAUGGUAAUGGGGUGUUAAUCGGAAUUACUGGGCGUAAAGCGUGCGGCAGGCGGUUCGAAAGAAAGAUGUGAAAUCCCAGAGCUUAACUUUGAACUGCAUUUUUAACUACCGAGCCAGAGUGGGCGUGUCAGAGGGAGGUGGAAUUCCGCGUGUAGCAGUGAAAUGCGUAGAUAUGCGGAGGAACACCGAUGGCGAAGGCAGCCUCCCGGGAUAACACUGACGCUCAUGCACGAAAGCGUGGGGAGCAAAUGAGAUUAGAUAAUUCUGGUAGUCCACGCCCCAAACGAUGUCAACUAGCCGUUGGGGCCUUCGGGCCUUGGUAGCGCAGCUAACGCGUGGUUGACCGCCUGGGGAGUACGGUCGCAACGAUUAAAACUCAAAGGAAUUGGACGGGACCCGCACAAGCGGGUGGAUGGAGGAUUAAUUCGAUGCAACGCGAAAAACCUACCUACCCUGACAUGUCUGGAAUCCCGAAGAGAUUUGGAGUGUUUCGUAAGAACUGAACACAGGCCGCAUGGCUGUCGUCAGCUCGUGUCGUGGAGAUGUUGGGUUAAGUCCCGCAACGCGCAACCCUUGUCAUUAGUUGCUACGAAGGGCACUCCCCAUCGAGAUCGCCGGUGACAAACCGGAGGAAGGUGGGGAUGACGUCAAGUCCUCAUGGCCCUUAUGGGUAGGGUUUACACGUCAUAUGGAAUGGUCGGGACAGAGGGUCGCCAACCCGCGGGAGCUAAUCCCAGAAACCCGACUGUAGUCCGGAUCGCAGUUCGCAACUCGACUGCGUGAAGUCGGAAUCGCUAGUAAUCGCGGAUCAGCAUGUCAGUAACAUGUUCCCGGGUCUGUACACACCGCCCGUCACACCAUGGAGUGGGUUUUACCAGAAGUAGUUAGCUCAACCGUAAGAGUAAGGAUUACCACGGCAGGAUUCAUGACUGGGGUGAAGUCGUAACAAGGUAA